UGGGGAAUAUUGGACAAUGGGCGCAAGCCUGAUCCAGCCAUGCCGCGUGUGUGAAGAAGGCCUUCGGGUUGUAAAGCACUUUCAGUAGGGAGGAAGCGUUGUGUGUUAAUAGUACACAGCGUUGACGUUACCUACAGAAGAAGCACCGGCUAACUCUGUGCCAGCAGCCGCGGUAAUACAGAGGGUGCAAGCGUUAAUCGGAAUUACUGGGCGUAAAGCGCACGUAGGCGGUUUUUUAAGUCAGAUGUGAAAGCCCCGGGCUCAACCUGGGAAUUGCAUUUGAAACUGGAAAACUAGAGUGUGUGAGAGGGGGGUAGAAUUCCAAGUGUAGCGGUGAAAUGCGUAGAGAUUUGGAGGAAUACCAGUGGCGAAGGCGGCCCCCUGGCACAACACUGACGCUCAGGUGCGAAAGCGUGGGGAGCAAACAGGAUUAGAUACCCUGGUAGUCCACGCCGUAAACGAUGUCUACUAGCUGUUCGUGACCUUGUGUCGUGAGUAGCGCAGCUAACGCAUUGAGUAGACCGCCUGGGGAGUACGGUCGCAAGAUUA
rnacentral:rRNA from 1 species